rnacentral:sRNA from 12 species
UUCGAGCCGAGGGGCCUUGUGGAAACGCCAGGUUGGCGCUAAUCGGAAACGAUAGCAAGUGAGCCCGCAAUAUGUCGCGAUCUGACUGCGGCGUAAUGAAAAUACUGUGCCUAUCGCAAGGGGCACGUCAGAUAGUAGCAAA